rnacentral:tRNA from 1 species
GGGGUUGUGGCUCAGUGGUAAAGCACUUAUCUGGCAGGUAUGAGGCACUGGGUUUGAUCCUCAGCACCGCA